rnacentral:rRNA from 1 species
GAUGAACGCUGGCGGCGUGCCUAAUACAUGCAAGUCGAGCGAACAGAUGAGGAGCUUGCUCCUCUGACGUUAGCGGCGGACGGGUGAGUAACACGUGUAUAACCUACCUAUAAUACUGGGAUAACUUCGGGAAACCGGAUCUAAUACCGGAUAAUAUAUUGAACCGCAUGGUUCAAUAGUGAAAGACGGUUUUGCUGUCACUUAUAGAUGGAUCUGCGCCGCAGUAGCUAGUUGGUAAGGUAACGGCUUACCAAGGCGACGAUGCGUAGCCGACGUGAGAGGGUGAUAGGCCACCUUGGAACUGAGACACGGUCCAGAGUACUACGGGAGGCAGCAGUAGGGAAUCUUCCGCAAUGGGCGAAAGCAUGACGGAGCAACGCCGAGUGAGUGAUGACGGUCUUCGGAUCGUAAUACCGUGUUAUGAGGGAAGAACCAAUGUGUAAGUAACUAUGCACGUCUUGACGGUACCUAAUCAGAAAGCAACGGCUAACUACGUG